rnacentral:rRNA from 1 species
UACGUAGGGUGCGAGCGUUAAUCGGAAUUACUGGGCGUAAAGCGUGCGCAGGCGGUUCGUUAAGUCUGAUGUGAAAGCCCCGGGCUCAACCUGGGAAUGGCAUUGGAAACUGGCGAGCUGGAGUAUGGCAGAGGGGGGUGGAAUUCCACGUGUAGCAGUGAAAUGCGUAGAGAUGUGGAGGAACACCGAUGGCGAAGGCAACCCCCUGGGCCAAUACUGACGCUCAGGCACGAAAGCGUGGGGAG